GACCGGAAGUCACUAUUUUCGGAGUUACAGCGUUUCAAAGUUUUCGUAAAUGUAAAUGUUUAAAAAUCGGAAACCCUUUGUUUCACACGACGAUAUCUCCGGAACCGGA